GACCUUUUAUUAUUAGUGGAGUAGACCGGGAAAUUUGGGUUUAAAUGAAAGGGGGGGGGCGGAGAAUAAGGAUGGGCUAAAUUGGACGGAAGAUUCGAAAAGGCGAAGAAGAAGCUUGAAAAUCGCAUUUCUACACGGAGACGUAAUGAAGAAAACUGGAAAAUGAAACAUCUUAGUACCAGGGUGACACAGAGAAAUCAAACGAGAUUCCGCAAGUAGCGGUGAGCGAAAGUGGAAUAGUUCAAUGGUCUGUUGGAGGAUGAGUAAAUAGUGGAAGAGAGGUGCUCACAUAUCUAAGACUAAAUGUUAGUUCCAUACCGAAAGAGAGAGUACUGUAAAGGAAAGUUGAAAGAGAUUUGAAAAGAUCUUGAAAUCAGUCCUUUAAAGCAGCUGUAAUACAGCGUACCUUUUGUAUAAUGGGUUUAUAAGACAUGGUUUGGCAAAUUUAAGUUAGCUUCUUGGAGAGUUCAAAAGGUAUCCGAGAGAGGGAGAAGAGAAUGGAGGUAAAGAGAAAUCGAGGGUGCUUUCUUUAGUCAAAUUGCCCGAAACCAAGUGAUCUAACCAUGGGCAGUUUUAAGGAACGAACCGGUGGUUGUAGCAAAAACCUCGGAGGACCUAUGGUUAGGGGGGAAAGACCAAUCGAACUUGGAGAUGGCUGGUUUUCUGCGAAAACUAUUGAAGUAGUGCGUUCACAAUUCCGGGGGGGCUUGAGUUAAAAGAAUUUUUAUGGUAAAGCUUGAUCGCUCGAAAGGGGGGGAGAAACCAUGGAUAAAAAAAUCGAAGUGGACAGGCAGACAGUGGGCGAGAAAGUCCAUUGUCAAAAGGGGGAGCCCUAAUCAGAAGUUAAAGUCAUAGAUCGAUUGGGGGUGCCUCAAAAUAGUCAAGUGUAAAAGGAGUAUGGGAUUUAAACAAUGAGGAGGUAGGCUUGGGGCCAGCCAUCUUUGAAAGAGGGCGUAGUAGUCCACUCGAGAAUUUUUUUUUCCCUUAAAAUUAUGGUGGCUAAAAUUGAACUGAAACUUUGAGGGCGAAGUUUGCUUGGUAGUAGAACGGACUGUCGGAUGGUUUAGUGAGAGCCCAAGCAUCAGAAGAGAUAAUGUGAACAUGAGUAAUUAAUUGUUGAAUUGCUUCUCCAGGUUUCCAAGCCUGGGGCUUGGGUAAUACAGCCCUUAAGGUGGCGGCCGAGGGUCGCUUUGAUGGGGGAUAAUAAUAAACGCAUAGAGUGCCAGGAAAGAAUUAUUAAAAGUUGGUACUGUUGUAAACUAACACAAGUGGGAGAUAGUGAAGGGGAAAGUUUUUUUAAGGAACUCGGCUAGUUUUUUAGCUUCCGCUAGGGAGUUUUUAUAACACAAGGCCUCGACUGUUUACCAAAAACAUAGCUCCCUGCUAAUAUGAAAGUAGAAGUAUGGGGGGUGAGACCUGCCCAAUGGUUGUAUCUAAAAGGGUCGGUUGGGCCGACUUUAUAAAGACAAUUGAAUGGCUGCGGUAACACUGACCGUGAAAAUGUAGCGUAAUCAAUAGUCAAUUAAUUGUUGGCCGGUAUGAAUGGUGUCACGAGGGUCUCACUGUCUUAAGAAAAUCCCCAGUGAAAUUGAAUUUGUAGUGAAGAUGCUACAUAAAAAUUGUUGGACGAGAAGUCCCCAUGAAACUUUACUGGAGACUUAUGUGGCUUGUGCUGACUGAUCGAACUAGGCUCAAUCAGUGAAAGCAUCUAACAAAUAAAUAGCUUAGACUAUGUGGUGUUAACCGUUUUAUUUAAAACUUUUGGGAGUAGUGUUUAGAGUAGUCUUCAGACUAAAGUAAAAAACACAUGUAUUUUUUACAGACCCGCCUCUUUCAAAAUUUAGGUUAGUCAAACUCAUCUUUUAUUUUAAGAAAGCUAACUCUUCUUUUGAAUUAAGUUCGAUUGGUGGGGGGUACCCCACCACAUUUUAGGAGUGGUGAAUUUCUGGGUUAGAGAAAUGGGGUAAGUUAGACAGUUUGGUUGGGGCGAUCGCCUUUUAAAAAGUAACGAAGGUGAGCGUAAGAUACAUAUUUAAUAGCUGUCGUCUGACUGUGAAGGGGGGGCCCUGAGCAGACACUAAAAACCGCCUUGUGCGGGGAAUAGUGGGUUGCAGUGACCCGUUGAUUUAAGGUGAAAUAGUUAACGAUAAACAAAUAAAAGUUACUCUGGGGAUAACAGCGCAAUAACGUUAGAGGGUUUUUCUUGAUGACGAUGUUUGCGACCUCGAUGUUGAAUUGCGGCAUCCUGGGGUGCAGUCGCCCCCAAGGGUGGGUCUGUUCGUCCCUUAAAGCCGUACAUGAUUUGAGUUAAAAGCGUGGUAACACAGCUUGGUUUCUAUCCACAAUUUGAAGAAACAUUGAUAUAACUGUUUUCUAGUACGAAAGGAUCGAAAAAUUAGUGGUUUUCUUAUUUUUAUAAGUUACGACCAAUCUAUUGGCCUCGACAAUUUUUGAAGGCGCCUUUUCGUUAAUCGCUGAUCGCCUCUAAAGCGUGAAAGUUCUAUUAAGUUGUUUGAAGUCCUGUAGGGGAGUAAAACAGAGGGUUUUUGAUGAAAAAAAAAUAAUGGUUCGCUUUUUAAAAGUAACGAAGUAGUGUUCCUGUCUUAUAUGGGUUUUCGGGUUAAAAAUAGGUGGUGGGGGAAAAAUAGAGUUGUAUCGAACAUAUUACAUGUGUUUCGGUUGGUUUUUCAUGGAUAUUAAUGAGUAUAAGAAAUA
rnacentral:rRNA from 1 species